GCUCACCCUUGCUAUAUCAUGAUAAAACAUUGCAGAUAAGGCGAAUACGGCCAGUUACAGGAAAAGGAAAAUGCCAAGUUCAGCUUGGGAUAGAAUGUGCAGCUAAUUUGUAAAAGUAUGGUUGAAGAAUAGUAUUGUUAUGUGUUAGAUAGUUUAUGAUUUGUGUAUAAGUUAAGGUUACUCGAUUUUGGGAAUAGUG
rnacentral:lncRNA from 1 species